rnacentral:rRNA from 1 species
CGAGGCGGCGAACGGGUGAGUAACACUGUGGGUGAUCUGCCUCGCACUUCGGGAUAAGCCUGGGAAACUGGGUCUAAUACCGGAUAUGACCUGCUGUCGCAUGGCGGUGGGUGGAAAGAUUUAUCGGUGCGAGAUGGGCCCGCGGCCUAUCAGCUUGUUGGUGGGGUAAUGGCCUACCAAGGCGACGACGGGUAGCCGACCUGAGAGGGUGACCGGCCACACUGGGACUGAGACACGGCCCAGACUCCUACGGGAGGCAGCAGUGGGGAAUAUUGCACAAUGGGCGAAAGCCUGAUGCAGCGACGCCGCGUGAGGGAUGACGGCCUUCGGGUUGUAAACCUCUUUCGACAGGGACGAAGCGUAAGUGACGGUACCUGUAGAAGAAGCACCGGCCAACUACGUGCCAGCAGCCGCGGUAAUACGUAGGGUGCGAGCGUUGUCCGGAAUUACUGGGCGUAAAGAGCUUGUAGGCGGUUUGUCGCGUCGUCUGUGAAAACUCACAGCUCAACUGUGAGCUUGCAGGCGAUACGGGCAGACUUGAGUACUUCAGGGGAGACUGGAAUUCCUGGUGUAGCGGUGAAAUGCGCAGAUAUCAGGAGGAACACCGGUGGCGAAGGCGGGUCUCUGGGAAGUAACUGACGCUGAGAAGCGAAAGCGUGGGUAGCGAACAGGAUUAGAUACCCUGGUAGUCCACGCCGUAAACGGUGGGUACUAGGUGUGGGUUUCCUUCCACGGGAUCCGUGCCGUAGCUAACGCAUUAAGUACCCCGCCUGGGGAGUACGGCCGCAAGGCUAAAACUCAAAGGAAUUGACGGGGGCCCGCACAAGCGGCGGAGCAUGUGGAUUAAUUCGAUGCAACGCGAAGAACCUUACCUGGGUUUGACAUACACCGGAAACCUGCAGAGAUGUAGGCCCCCUUGUGGUCGGUGUACAGGUGGUGCAUGGCUGUCGUCAGCUCGUGUCGUGAGAUGUUGGGUUAAGUCCCGCAACGAGCGCAACCCUUAUCUUAUGUUGCCAGCGCGUAAUGGCGGGGACUCGUGAGAGACUGCCGGGGUCAACUCGGAGGAAGGUGGGGACGACGUCAAGUCAUCAUGCCCCUUAUGUCCAGGGCUUCACACAUGCUACAAUGGCCGGUACAGAGGGCUGCGAUACCGUGAGGUGGAGCGAAUCCCUUAAAGCCGGUCUCAGUUCGGAUCGGGGUCUGCAACUCGACCCCGUGAAGUUGGAGUCGCUAGUAAUCGCAGAUC